AUUGAACGCUGGCGGCAUGCCUUACACAUGCAAGUCGAACGGUAACAGGUCUUCGGAUGCUGACGAGUGGCGAACGGGUGAGUAAUACAUCGGAACGUGCCUAGUAGUGGGGGAUAACUACUCGAAAGAGUGGCUAAUACCGCAUGAGAUCUACGGAUGAAAGCAGGGGAUCGCAAGACCUUGUGCUACUAGAGCGGCCGAUGGCAGAUUAGGUAGUUGGUGGGAUAAAAGCUUACCAAGCCGACGAUCUGUAGCUGGUCUGAGAGGACGAACAGCCACACUGGGACGGAGACACGGCCCAGACUCCUACGGGAGGCAGCAGUGGGGAAUUUUGGACAAUGGGCGAAAGCCUGAUCCAGCAAUGCCGCGUGCAGGAUGAAGGCCUUCGGGUUGUAAACUGCUUUUGUACGGAACGAAAAGCCCCGGGUUAAUACCCUGGGGUCAUGACGGUACCGUAAGAAUAAGCACCGGCUAACUACGUGCCAGCAGCCGCGGUAA
rnacentral:rRNA from 1 species